ACCAGACUCCUACGGGAGGCAGCAGUGGGGGAUAUUGCACAAUGGGGGGAACCCUGAUGCAGCGACGCCGCGUGGGUGAAGGAGUAUUUCGGUAUGUAAAGCUCUAUCAGCAGGGAAGAAAAUGACGGUACCUGACUAAGAAGCCCCGGCUAACUACGUGCCAGCAGCCGCGGUAAUACGUAGGGGGCAAGCGUUAUCCGGAUUUACUGGGUGUAAAGGGAGCGUAGACGGCAUGGCAAGUCAGAUGUGAAAGCCCGGGGCUCAACCCCGGGACUGCAUUUGAAACUGUCAGGCUGGAGUGCAGGAGAGGUAAGUGGAAUUCCUAGUGUAGCGGUGAAAUGCGUAGAUAUUAGGAGGAACACCAGUGGCGAAGGCGGCUUACUGGACUGUAACUGACGUUGAGGCUCGAAAGCGUGGGGAGCAAACAGGAUUAGAUACCCCAGUAA
rnacentral:rRNA from 1 species